AGGGUUGUAGCUCAUGGUAGAGCACUUGCCUUGCAAGCAUGAGGCCUUGGGUUCAAUCCUCAGCACCACAU
rnacentral:tRNA from 1 species